rnacentral:rRNA from 1 species
CCUGGUUGAUCCUGCCAGUAGUCAUAUGCUUGUUUCAAAGAUUAAGCCAUGCAAGUCUAAGUAUUAACUAAUCAUACGGUGAAACUGCGAAUAGCUCAUUAUAACAGUUAUUAUCUAAACGAUGAUCAAUACUAAAUGGAUAUCCAUGGUAAUUCUGGAGCUAAUACAUGCAAUACCCCUUAUGGGGUGCGUUCAUUAGUUCGUGAAGUCAACCUGGGGCAACCCAGUAUUGGAUGAUCAGAGUGAAUCGGCGGAUCUCGUUUCGAGACAGUUCGUUCGAGUUUCUGACCUAUCAGCUUUUGUCGGUAGGGUAUUGGCCUACCGAGGCGGUAACGGGUAACGGGGAAUUAGGGUUCGAUUCCGGAGAGGGAGCCUGAGAAACGGCUACCACAUCUAAGGGUGGCAGCAGGCGCGCAAAUUACUCAAUCCCGAUACGGGGAGGUAGUGACAAGAAAUAGCGGCGCGGGGCAUAUGCUCCACGACUGCAAUGAGUAGAGUGCAAAAUAGUUUGCGAGUAACAACUGGAGGGCAAGUCUGGUGCCAGCAGCCGCGGUAAUUCCAGCUCCAGUAGCGUAUAUUAAAGUUGUUGCAGUUAAAGCGUCCGUAGUUGAGUAUUAAGUGACGUCUGUCUGGCGGUUUAUACCGUAUAACGACAGACAUCAUUUGGUGCAUGGUCGUUCGCGGUCAGCAAGAGUUACUUUGAGUAAAUUGGAGUGCUCCAAGCAAGCUUUAGCUUGAACUACUCAGCAUGGAAUAACAAUAUAGGACCUAGGUUCGACUUGUUGGCUUCCAGAAUCUGGUGUAAUGGUUGAUAAGGGCGUUCGGGGGCAUUUGUACUUGCUGGAGAGAGGUGAAAUUCUAAGACCCUGCAAAGACAAACAAGUGCGAAAGCAUUUGCCUAGUGCGUACCUGUUAAUCAAGGACGAAAGUUGGGGGAUCGAAGACGAUUAGAUACCGUCGUAGUCCCAACCAUAAACUAUGCCGACUGAGGAUCGGUGGAGAGCCAAUAUGUCUCCUUCGGCACUCGAAGAGAAAUCUAAGUCUUUGGGCCCUGGGGGGAGUAUGGUCGCAAGGCUGAAACUUAAAGGAAUUGACGGAAGGGCACCACCAGGAGUGGAGCCUGCGGCUUAAUUCGACUCAACGCGGGGAACCUUACCAGGCCCGGACAUAGUCAUGAUUGACAGAUGGAGAGAUCUUUCUCGAUUCUAUGGGUGGUGGUGCAUGGCCGUUCUUAGUCGGUGAGGUGACUUGUCUGGUUAAUUCCGAUAACGGACGAGACCUCGACCUACUAAAUAGAUCCCUUUGGUUUCAAAGGUGCAUCUUCUUAGAGGGACAUUGAGAGUUUAUCUCAAGGAAGUUCGAGCCUAUAACAGGUCUGUGAUGCCCUUAGAUGGCCUGGGCUGCACGUGUGCUACAAUGAUGCAGUCAGCGAGUUUCCUUCUCUGAAGAGAGUGGGUAAUCUUGUUAAACUGUGUCGUGAUUGGGAUUGGUCAUUGUAAUUGUUGGUCAUGAACGAGGAAUUCCUAGUAAGUACAAGUCAUAAUCUUGUGCUGAUUACGUCCCUGCCCUUUGUACACACCGCCCGUCGCUUCAACCGAUUGGAUGAUCCGGCAAAUUCUACGGACUUAUCGGUUGCUUCGGCGUACCGAAUUGGAAGUAGCGUGAGCCUUAUCAUCUAGAGGAUGAAGAAGUCGUAACACGGUAUCCGUAGGUGAACCUGCGGAUG